UACAGAGGUGGCAAGCGUUGUUCGGAUUUACUGGGCGUAAAGCGCACGUAGGCGGAUCGAUCAGUCAGGGGUGAAAUCCCAGAGCUCAACUCUGGAACUGCCUUUGAUACUGUCGAUCUGGAGUAUGGAAGAGGUGAGUGGAAUUCCGAGUGUAGAGGUGAAAUUCGUAGAUAUUCGGAAGAACACCAGUGGCGAAGGCGGCUCACUGGCCCGGUACUGACGCUCAUGUGCGAAAGCGUGGGGAGCAAACAGG
rnacentral:rRNA from 1 species